rnacentral:tmRNA from 1 species
GGGGGCGAACGGAUUCGACGGGGAUGGAAGAAGCAUUGGAGGCGUGCCGAGGUUCCAUCAACCUCGUUAAACAGGUGGGACAAAACAAAUGCCAAUACUGAUUUGGCCUUGGCUGCCUAAGCAUUAGGCAACCCGUCCGCUUCGGCUUUGCCGUUGGUGCCGAAUGUCGGGCGUCGAUGCACAGCGGCUGGCCGGCUGACAGGCCUCAGGGAUGCCGGCGAGAAAGCUCAGAGGCUAGUCUCAUGACACCCUUGCCUGUUGAAGUGUCAUGAGGCGAAACAAAGCCAACAGGCUACGCACGUAGGCUCCGAUGCGGAAGCAUCUUCGGACGCGGGUUCGAUUCCCGCCGCCUCCACCA